GACGAACGCUGGCGGCGUGCUUAACACAUGCAAGUCGUACGGUAAGGCCCUUUCGGGGGUCCACGAGUGGCGAACGGGUGAGUAACACGUGAGUAACCUGCCCACAACUUUGGGAUAACGCUAGGAAACUGGUGCUAAUACUGGAUAUGUGCUCCUGCUGCAUGGUGGGGGUUGGAAAGCUCCGGCGGUUGUGGAUGGACUCGCGGCCUAUCAGCUUGUUGGUGGGGUAGUGGCCUACCAAGGCGGCGGCGGGUAGCCGGCCUGAGAGGGUGACCGGCCACAUUGGGACUGAGAGACGGCCCAGACUCCUACGGGAGGCAGCAGUGGGGAAUAUUGCACAAUGGGCGCAAGCCUGAUGCAGCAACGCCGCGUGCGGGAUGACGGACUUCGGGUUGUAAACCGCUUUCAGCAGGGACGAAGCUUUUUGUGACGGUACCUGCAGAAGAAGCACCGGCUAACUACGUG
rnacentral:rRNA from 1 species